GAUGAACGCUGGCGGCGUGCCUAAUACAUGCAAGUCGAGCGAACGGACGAGAAGCUUGCUUCUCUGAUGUUAGCGGCGGACGGGUGAGUAACACGUGGAUAACCUACCUAUAAGACUGGGAUAACUUCGGGAAACCGGAGCUAAUACCGGAUAAUAUUUUGAACCGCAUGGUUCAAAAGUGAAAGACGGUCGUGCUGUCACUUAUAGAUGGAUCCGCGCUGCACUAGCUAGUUGGUAAGGUAACGGCUUACCAAGGCAACGAUGCAUAGCCGACCUGAGAGGGUGAUCGGCCACACUGGAACUGAGACACGGUCCAGACUCCUACGGGAGGCAGCAGUAGGGAAUCUUCCGCAGUGGGCGAAAGCCUGACGGAGCAACGCCGCGUGAGUGAUGAAGGUCUCCGGAUCGUAAAACUCUGUUAUUAGGGAAGAACAUAUGUGUAAGUAACUGUGCACAUCUUGACGGUACCUAAUCAGAAAGCCACGGCUAACUACGUGCCAGCAGCCGCGGUAAUACGUAGGUGGCAAGCGUUAUCCGGAAUUAUUGGGCGUAAAGCGCGCGUAGGCGGUUUUUUAAGUCUGAUGUGAAAGCCCACGGCUCAACCGUGGAGGGUCAUUGGAAACUGGAAAACUUGAGUGCAGAAGAGGAAAGUGGAAUUCCAUGUGUAGCGGUGAAAUGCGCAGAGAUAUGGAGGAACACCAGUGGCGAAGGCGACUUUCUGGUCUGUAACUGACGCUGAUGUGCGAAAGCGUGGGGAUCAAACAGGAUUAGAUACCCUGGUAGUCCACGCCGUAAACGAUGAGUGCUAAGUGUUAGGGGGUUUCCGCCCCUUAGUGCUGCAGCUAACGCAUUAAGCACUCCGCCUGGGGAGUACGACCGCAAGGUUGAAACUCAAAGGAAUUGACGGGGACCCGCACAAGCGGUGGAGCAUGUGGUUUAAUUCGAAGCAACGCGAAGAACCUUACCAAAUCUUGACAUCCUUUGACAACUCUAGAGAUAGAGCCUUCCCCUUCGGGGGGGCAAAGUGACAGGUGGUGCAUGGUUGUCGUCAGCUCGUGUCGUGAGAUGUUGGGUUAAGUCCCGCAACGAGCGCAACCCUUAAGCUUAGUUGCCAUCAUUAAGUUGGGCACUCUAAGUUGACUGCCGGUGACAAACCGGAGGAAGGUGGGGAUGACGUCAAAUCAUCAUGCCCCUUAUGAUUUGGGCUACACACGUGCUACAAUGGACAAUACAAAGGGCAGCGAAACCGCGAGGUCAAGCAAAUCCCAUAAAGUUGUUCUCAGUUCGGAUUGUAGUCUGCAACUCGACUACAUGAAGCUGGAAUCGCUAGUAAUCGUAGAUCAGCAUGCUACGGUGAAUACGUUCCCGGGUCU
rnacentral:rRNA from 1 species